rnacentral:rRNA from 1 species
CUAGCGACUUCAGAGUUUGAUCCUGGCUCAGGAUGAACGCUAGCGGCAGGCUUAACACAUGCAAGUCGAGGGGCAGCAUGAGACGGAGAUUCGUCGAAGUCUUGAUGGCGACCGGCGCAAGGGUGCGUAACGCGUGAGCAACUUGCCCGUUUCAGGGGGAUAACCGGUGGAAACGCCGACUAAUACCCCAUGGUGAUGUUCAGGGGCAUCCCUUUACAUCUAAAGAAUUUCGGAAACGGAUAGGCUCGCGUGACAUUAGCUAGAUGGCGGGGUAACGGCCCACCAUGGCGACGAUGUCUAGGGGUUCUGAGAGGAAGGUCCCCCACACUGGAACUGAGACACGGUCCAG